UGUUGAAGGAUGAUGAUAUCAGACGGAUUCCCAUUGAUAUAUUUAUGUAUGAUAUAACAACCAGCUACUUCUGACAAUA